UACGUAGGGUGCAAGCGUUAAUCGGAAUUACUGGGCGUAAAGCGUGCGCAGGCGGUUAUUUAAGACCGAUGUGAAAUGCCCGGGCUUAACCUGGGAACUGCAUUUGUGACUGCAUGGCUAGAGUGUGUCAGAGGGGGGUAGAAUUCCACGUGUAGCAGUGAAAUGCGUAGAUAUGUGGAGGAAUACCGAUGGCGAAGGCAGCCCCCUGGGAUAACACUGACGCUCAUGCACGAAAGCGUGGGGAGCAAACAGG
rnacentral:rRNA from 1 species